AGUGAACGCUGGCGGUAGGCCUAACACAUGCAAGUCGAACGGCAGCACAGGAGAGCUUGCUCUCUGGGUGGCGAGUGGCGGACGGGUGAGGCGUACAUCGGAAUCUACUCUGUCGUGGGGGAUAACGUAGGGAAACUUAAGCUAAUACCGCAUACGACCUACGGGUGAAAGCAGGGGAUCUUCGGGCGUUGCGCGAUUGAAUGAGCAGAUGUCGGAUUAGCUAGUUGGCGGGGUAAAGGCCCACCAAGGCGACGAUCCGUAGCCGGUCUGAGAGGAUGAUCAGCCACACUGGAACUGAGACACGGUCCAGACUCCCACGGGAGGCAGCAGUGGGGAAUAUUGGACAAUGGGCGCAAGCCUGAUCCAGCCAUACCGCGUGGGUGAAGAAGGCCUUCGGGUUGUAAAGCCCUUUUGUUGGGAAAGAAAUCCAGCUGGCUAAUACCCGGUUGGGAUGACGGUACCCAAAGAAUAAGCACCGGCUAACUUCGUGCCAGCCGCCGCGGUAA
rnacentral:rRNA from 1 species